rnacentral:ncRNA from 1 species
GUGAAGUUUUAUUCUUGCUUUUUCAUUCAGUUUUUGUUUGUUUUAUAUGUAAGUUUGUGCGUGUUUUUGUUUGUUAUCUCUAAAUGGGUUACCAUAUUAUUUAUUAUUCUCAUUAGUUAUUAUUGGUUGGUCAAGUAUUCUUGUAUUUAGCAAUUCGUUUUAGUUUCGGUUAAAUUUUGUGCCAGCAGCCGCGGUUAUACCUUGGGGGCAUUUGAAUGAGUUCGGCGUUAUGUAGUUUUAUGUUUAAUUUUGUUGAUUUUAUUUUGCUAGUUUAUUAGGUGAAAUUUUUAUUGUUGUUUUGUCGUUUAUUAUUUUGGAGGCUAUGAAACUCUUUUUUUAGACUAGGAUUAGAUACCCUAUUAUUUGAGAGCGUUAAUUAUUGUGUCUGAGUAGUAUUAGUUAUGUUCUUGAAACUUAAAGAAUUUGGCGGUAUCUUAUUCCAUCCAGAGGAAUCUGUCUCGUUAUCGAUAGUCCGCGUUGGACCUUACUUAGUUGCUUUGGUUUGUAUACCGCCGUUUAUUGAUUAUCUUUUUAGAGUUUUUAAUUUUCUGGUUUCUUUAUUUUGGUUUAUUUCAGGUCAAGGUGCAGCUUGUUUCUAAGUGGAAUGAUGGAUUACAUUGUUAUUUGUUUAUUUGGAUUGUUGAUUUUAAUAUUAGCAUGAAAUUGGAUUUGGUUGUAAUGUUUUGUAGAUUGUUUUCAUGAUAAUUGGUUCUGGGAUAUGUACACAUCGCCCGUCGCUCUCGUUGGUUUUUAAUGAGAUAAGUCGUAACAAAGUGGUUGUACCGGAAGGUGCAGCUGGAUUGAU